AUUGAACGCUGGCGGCAUGCCUUACACAUGCAAGUCGAACGGUAACGGGCCUUCGGGUGCCGACGAGUGGCGAACGGGUGAGUAAUACAUCGGAACGUGCCCGAUCGUGGGGGAUAACGAGGCGAAGGCUUUGCUAAUACCGCAUACGAUCUACGGAUGAAAGCAGGGGACCGCAAGGCCUUGCGCGGACGGAGCGGCCGAUGGCAGAUUAGGUAGUUGGUGGGAUAAAAGCUUACCAAGCCGACGAUCUGUAGCUGGUCUGAGAGGAUGAUCAGCCACACUGGGACUGAGACACGGCCCAGACUCCUACGGGAGGCAGCAGUGGGGAAUUUUGGACAAUGGGCGCAAGCCUGAUCCAGCCAUGCCGCGUGCAGGAUGAAGGCCUUCCGGUUGUAAACUGCUUUUGUACGGAACGAAAAGCCUUCUUCUAAUACAGGAGGGUCAUGACGGUACCGUAAGAAUAAGCACCGGCUAACUACGUGCCAGCCGCCGCCGUAA
rnacentral:rRNA from 1 species